UGUAAAUCAUAGUUCUCAUCUUAGCUGUGCCAUACGUGAUGCGCCGCUGAUUCAUAACAGCACACAUUGUCGGUCUCCAGAUCUUGCGAAUCACCAUCUGCCAUAGGAUGCUGCAAUGGGCUAGGGUUUAAAUAUAAAUGAGUGGCUCUCCUGUUUGUGAUGCGCCGCUGAUUCAUAGAUCACAAAUUGCUGGUCUCUGGAGUAAAUGUAAAUGACCGGCUCUCCUGUUGGCAUGUGAUAAAACAGUACUGGCAAAUCCUGCGCAUGUGCACUUGUACUAGUCACGCCGAGAGACUAACUUCUAUGAACGUAUUCCUAGAGGAGAGAAGGGUGUGUUUGUCCCCGUUGGCUCUCCCUAUUUCCGGGCGCGCAUGCGCAGUUGCGCUACACGGAGGCUGGGAGACUGAUGGCGGUAUCUCACGGUGGGGGCUUCUUGGAUGAG